AAAAAACGACGAGGAAUACUAUUUCAUGAUCAUUUCCAUUUCGUCUCAUUCAUCAUCGGUGUGUGUCUCUGUUGUCGGUCAGCUGUGGCAGCUAUAGGAAGGAAGUGCUUCCUGAGGGAGCCACAGGACCUUAAAUACAGAGGCUUUUGAGCAACAAACACAAGGCUUUCAUCCAGGAGACAGCUGUUCAUGUCUCAUGAAUUCCUGUGCAAUGAUCUCCAGCAGCUGAGUGGUUGAACUAAACAUCGAGAGGUCUUGAUAAUGAACUGAAGAACUAAAAAGACAAGUUAUGCUGGAGAUGGACAAACACCUGCCAACUGAUUUUAUCACAACCUGGCAACCCAAAGCUUUUCCUUAUUAAUCUAUAAAGCAUUAAUAAAUUAUGUACUACCUAUCAAUAAAGCCAUAACUUAUAAAUCCUUUAUAAAGUGUGCCCUAAUAGAAAGGGGGUCCAAUAUUGUUUAUUUAUUUAUGGCAACACAUCAGAUGCUGUUUUGCACAUUUCAAUUAACAAAUUCGAUUUGAUCAGUAUUAAAUACGAUUAUUAAUUAUCUUAUUAUUUAACAAUAUCUUGCCCUCAUUUUACUGAAAUUCCACCACUUUUUUUGCAAGAAAUAUAAUUAAAAUUAAUAUAUUAUUGUGAAUACAAUAAGACAUUUGGUCGCAGAACUAAACUUUAAACUUAAUUAUCGUCACACAUUAAUUAUUUUUUUUAUGAUUAUCGCUGUAAUUUGACCUGAACACAGAUGUAUUGAAUUAUGAAUAUGGGUAUUUUGUGUUGUAAUACUCAUUGUGAAUGAUUUAAGGAAGCCUCAUGGGACAAACAGAACGAUAUUUAGUCAGGUUGGAUUUACACCCACUAGCUUGAUUGCCUAUAUUUAUCUGACCAUGUGAUGAGCAGACACCUACUUCAUACACAAAACAUGUGUUCAGCAAUGCUUCACCCUCCUGGCCAUGAUGUGAUAUUACAUACUUUUUUUUGUUCACACAAAGUGUUGAAUCAUGCACAUCUAAUUUAUAUCAGUUUCUCAAAGAUCUGCAGUGAAGAUGUUAUUUUUUGGGGGGGGGUUUUAGUAGUUUAAACUGCAAUUCUUCUUUUUUUUAAUGAUUAUUUUAUACCCCACAAUUGUGACUCAUUCAUGUGACAUUUGACAUACAUGUGAAUUAUUAUUAUUAUUAUUAUUAUUAUUUGUAUUAUUAUUAUUAUUAUUAUAUUAUUAUUAUUAUUAUUAUUAUUAUUAUUAUUAUAUUAUUAUUAUUAUUAUUAUUAUUAUUAUUAUUGUUAUUAUUAUUAUUAUUAUUAUUAUUAUUAUUAUUAUUAUUGCUGCGUGCAUAGCAAACAUGUUAGGAUGUGGGCCCCUGAAAGUCCUGCAGUGUCGUGCUGUGUCUUGUUACACACUGACGACCCCUGCAGGCAGAUUGGAGCAACAGCACUGCUUUCUUGUCACUGCAGCAUUUGCAGCCUAUUUCUUUUAUCUGGUAACAAUCAUGCAACAUAAUCUGUUUUGUAUUUUUUUUUCUGUAAUUUGUCAAGUUUAAUUUUCGUUUACUGUUGAAAGCAUGUUUCAUAUUUUCACAAAAUUAAGGAUAGGAUAUAUUAUGUGUUAAAUGAAGCUGUUAAUUAUAUAAGAAUUAAUUUACCUUUCAUUGUGCUGUGCAGCAGCUAAUGAAUUAUAAAUCACUUUUCUUCUUUUGCUCGCUGUUCUAUUGUCUGGAAGGUAACAAUUAAAAAAAAAAAACAUUGAUGACCGGACCUAUUUAUUCUGAAUCCUUUACAAAUCUGUCAUUCAGACAAUGCUUUCUGUUGCAGUGUGUGGAGUAAAUAUGGCAUGGCUGCAGGCCAACAGAAACCAGUCGACCGUUGUACCGUCUCACUAUCUCACUGUGUGUUUGUUAUCAUUCAAACCUGCUUGUCCCUCCCUAGCAACUAAUUCAGGUGUGUCCAGGACUCACCCCAGGCGUUGCUAUGAGUGAGCUCAAAUGUGCAUUUGUCUGUCUGACUGUGUCUCAUAAACCGGCUGGUUACACAUGAGUUGUAAAACUGAACAAAAAAAAAUUCCAGAGGUGUGUCUGAGCUUUCACUCUGCAGUGAAAUCUGAUCUGCUGUGAAAAGGCAACUAUACAUUUCCUUUUCAGAUAACACUGUAUUAAUAUAAGAUUUAUAGAUUUAGACUGUAUCAUAACGUAUUGUGAUUUUAAAAAAGCGUAUCCUCCCACAGACAAUGUAAACAUACAUGAAUAUCCUUUUAGUGCACUUUGGCUUCAAAGUCCAAGAGAUAGACUAGUGAACUAGUUUGAUUUAUUACUUAGGGGUUAAGAUCAACUUAGCAAAACAAUAAAUUCAUGGGCAGUGUACACGUAGUGUGGACUGUGCACAACCACACAAAGAUACACACACACUACAGUUAAUAUAUCAGCAGA